AAGGCGUUCCCAUGACAACGGCAAAAGGCGGGGCGCACCCAGAGCGGGGGCUGAUACCUGAGGCCCGGGAGCGCGUCAAGGAGCCAGCGGCGCCACCUUCUCGUCCCUGCAGCUGCAGUCCUCGCAAGCCACGGCCGAAGGGGGACGCGCGGACCCCUCCUGCACCUGAGGUCGCAGACUUUGGUUAGGGUCUCGCUCCUGCGACCCUGCGUUUCCCUCCGCUCCGCUCCUGUGCGUUUCCCGUCGCGGUCGCAGGGCGGCGGCCAGUGCCCAGGCGCGGUCUCUCCUCCCUCCUGGAAGCCCCCGCCUACCUUCCCCCGCGCGGGCCGGCCCGGGGCGUGGGGACGGCGGUCCUGGCCGUGGUUCACCGUCCAGGGCCCCAAGGAGCUGCCAGCGUAGAAGUCCAUCGGGUAGGGCUGCUGCCAGGAAAUGUCCCUCAGAGCCACGGCCGCCUAGGGGAGGGGAGGGAGGGACAAUAACAUCUGCCAGUGUUUUUCUGCCCCUGGAUUACUGAAUUCAGUCCUCACGACGGCCUGUGAAGGGCACACUGUCCCCUGCCACAGAAGGGAACUGUGUGGUUCAGGGCCUUGCCUAAGGCUACACAGCUAGGAAGUGACUCCGCUGGAGAAAUCGAGACAGACUCCGGAAUCUACGAACAUAACGAAGUGCUGCCCACCCACCCCACUCCACUCCAGACCUCACCUUUGAGAACCACGUCCAAAGCCCACUCUCUCCCAGAGCUUGGUGUUACCUCAUAGGGUGUCAGCAGCGGCUUGGGGAAGGCUGUGCCCCAGUCAAUGGAGAGACGUGGACAUGCCACCUGCACCCACCUGGGAAGGGAAGCCAGGUCAGACCCUAGGAAGGGCCUCCUCGUCGCCCAGGCAGCAUGCUGAAGAACAUGACAGUGCCCCCAGCACACCCAUUCAUUAACAGGCUUUAUGAAUCCUAAAGUAAAGACAGUGACCCACUGCUGUUUGGAA
ensembl:lncRNA novel transcript, antisense to DPH1